rnacentral:lncRNA from 1 species
GAGAUUUUGAACCUUCUGAAGGUGUGUAAAAUACGUGUGAUACGUAACAUAAAAGAUGUCUUGUAACAUGUAUUGAGCCAUUAGUCCAAAUCGUGUAACAUAUGCUUAGAAGUGGUUUUUUUUGAGGGGGGCGGGGUGUAUGGGGGAUGUAUGUUACUGUGUUAGAUAGUAGAGGUAUCAAACGUAGUCGCUGCUAGUGAACUUUUUAACGUCUAUAAAUGAGUUGGAUCAUAACUUACUCUUUGGACGAAAUAUAAUGUUUAUAUCUAUUGUAGUGAAUCCCUUAGCAUGGAUAGGUCCUGACAAGAAUACAGACUUACAACUUGGUGUGCCAGGGUACUCUGCUACAUAUAAGGCACCUGUUUUUGAACCUCUAAAUCGAACGGGAAAGAGAUCAAGAAUACCGAGUAUACAGACAUAUAAUGGUGAUUACGCGUAUGAACACCACCAAGAU